CCUACGGGCGGCAGCAGUGGGGAAUAUUGCACAAUGGGGGAAACCCUGAUGCAGCGACGCCGCGUGAGUGAAGAAGUAUUUCGGUAUGUAAAGCUCUAUCAGCAGGGAAGAAAAUGACGGUACCUGAUUAAGAAGCCCCGGCUAACUACAUGCCAGCAGCCGCGGGAAUACGUAGGGGGCAAGCGUUAUCCGGAUUUACUGGGUGUAAAGGGAGCGUAGACGGCAGCACAAGUCUGGAGUGAAAUGCCGGGGCUUAACCCCGGAACUGCUUUGGAAACUGUGCAGCUAGAGUGCAGGAGAGGUAAGUGGAAUUCCUAGUGUAGCGGUGAAAUGCGUAGAUAUUAGGAGGAACACCAGUGGCGAAGGCGGCUUACUGGACUGUAACUGACGUUGAGGCUCGAAAGCGUGGGGAGCAAACAGGAUUAGAUACCCCAGUAGUC
rnacentral:rRNA from 1 species